rnacentral:rRNA from 1 species
UAUUGCACAAUGGGCGGAAGCCUGAUGCAGCGACGCCGCGUGAGGGAUGACGGCCUUCGGGUUGUAAACCUCUGUCAGUAGGGAAGAAGCGAAAGUGACGGUACCUGCAGAAGAAGCGACGGCUAACUACGUGACAGCCGCCGCGGUAAUACGUAAGGCGCAAGCGUUAACCGGAUUUAUUGGGCGUAAAGAGCUCGUAGGCGGUUUGUCGCGUCUGCCGUGAAAGUCCGAGGCUCAACCUCGGAUCUGCGGUGGGUACGGGCAGACUAGAGUGAUGUAGGGGAGACUGGAAUUCCUGGUGUAGCGGUGAAAUGCGCAGAUAUCAGGAGGAACACCGAUGGCGAAGGCAGGUCUCUGGGCAUUUACUGACGCUGAGGAGCGAAAGCAUGGGGAGCGAACAGG